GAUGAACGCUGGCGGCGUGCCUAAUACAUGCAAGUCGAGCGAACAGACGAGGAGCUUGCUCCUCUGACGUUAGCGGCGGACGGGUGAGUAACACGUGGAUAACCUACCUAUAAGACUGGGAUAACUUCGGGAAACCGGAGCUAAUACCGGAUAAUAUAUUGAACCGCAUGGUUCAAUAGUGAAAGACGGUUUUGCUGUCACUUAUAGAUGGAUCCGCGCCGCAUUAGCUAGUUGGUAAGGUAACGGCUUAUCAAGGCAACGAUGCGUAGCCGACCUGAGAGGCUGAUAGGCCACCCGGGAACUGAGACACGGUCCAGGCGCCUACGGGAGGCAGCAGUAGGGAAUCUUCCGCAAUGGGCGAAAGCCUGACGGAGCAACGCCGCGUGAGUGAUGAAGGUCUUCGGAUCGUAAAACUCUGUUAUUAGGGAAGAACAAAUGUGUAAGUAACUAUGCACGUCUUGACGGUACCGAAUCAGAAAGCCACGGCUAACUACGUG
rnacentral:rRNA from 1 species